ACCAAGAUGGCCGAGUGGUUAAGGCGAUGGACUUAAGUUCCAUUAUCGUAAGAUGCCUGGGUUCGAACCCCAGUCUUGGUA
rnacentral:tRNA from 1 species